AUUGAACGCUGGCGGCAGGCCUAACACAUGCAAGUCGAACGGUAACAGGAAGCAGCUUGCUGCUUUGCUGACGAGUGGCGGACGGGUGAGUAAUGUCUGGGAAACUGCCUGAUGGAGGGGGAUAACUACUGGAAACGGUAGCUAAUACCGCAUAACGUCGCAAGACCAUGAGGGGGACCUUAGGGCCUCUUGCCAUCGGAUGUGCCCAGAUGGGAUUAGCUAGUAGGUGGGGUAACGGCUCACCUAGGCGACGAUCCCUAGCUGGUCUGAGAGGAUGACCAGCCACACUGGAACUGAGACACGGUCCAGACUCCUACGGGAGGCAGCAGUGGGGAAUAUUGCACAAUGGGCGCAAGCCUGAUGCAGCCAUGCCGCGUGUAUGAAGAAGGCCUUCGGGUUGUAAAGUACUUUCAGCGGGGAGGAAGGGAGUAAAGUUAAUACCUUUGCUCAUUGACGUUACCCGCAGAAGAAGCACCGGCUAACUCCGUG
rnacentral:rRNA from 1 species